GAUGAAGAACGCAGCGAAAUGCGAUAAGUAAUGUGAAUUGCAGAAUUCAGUGAAUCAUCGAAUCUUUGAACGCACAUUGCGCCCCCUGGUAUUCCGGGGGGCAUGCCUGUCCGAGCGUCAUUACAACCCUCAAGCUCAGCUUGGUAUUGGGCCCCGCCGACCCGGCGGGCCCUAAAGUCAGUGGCAGUGCCGUCCGGCUCCGAGCGUAGUAAUUCUUCUCGCUCUGGAGGUCCGGUCGUGUGCUCGCCAGCAACCCCCAAUUUUUUUCAGGUUGACCUCGGAUCAGGUAGGGAUACCCGCUGAACUUAAGCAUAUCAAUAAGCGGAGGA
rnacentral:misc_RNA from 1 species